GAAGCUUCGUUGAACAGAAGAGAGAAGAAAGCGAUCGCCACUCGCAUCACGACACGACUACUACUCACGCUGUCAAUUAGACAACGACCAUGAGUUUCCCGCUAUCCUUCGGAUCCACCACUUCCAGUAGGACUAUGGAGCUCGAUCAUCAGACUGUCAGCAGGUGGACAAUGUACGAGACCGUGAAGACCGCAUUCCCUGUACUGGAGAGGGGAUGUAGUUCCGCGUCUACGUGCGGGCUACUGUUAAUGCAUCGCGUCUUAACUGCAGUUAAUGCGAUACUUUUUGUUGUGGGACUUGAAAUUGUCGAGA